GAUGAACGCUGGCGGCGUGCCUAAUACAUGCAAGUCGAGCGAACAGACGAGGAGCUUGCUCCUUUGACGUUAGCGGCGGACGGGUGAGUAACACGUAGGUAACCUACCUAUAAGACUGGGAUAACUUCGGGAAACCGGAGCUAAUACCGGAUAAUAUUUCGAACCGCAUGGUUCGAUAGUGAAAGAUGGCUUUGCUAUCACUUAUAGAUGGACCUGCGCCGUAUUAGCUAGUUGGUAAGGUAACGGCUUACCAAGGCAACGAUCCGUAGCCGACCUGAGAGGGUGAUCAGCCACACUGGAACUGAGACACGGUCCAGACUCCUACGGGAGGCAGCAGUAGGGAAUCUUCCGCAAUGGGCGAAAGCCUGACGGAGCAACGCCGCGUGAGUGAUGAAGGUCUUCGGAUCGUAAAACUCUGUUAUUAGGGAAGAACAAACGUGUAAGUAACUGUGCACGUCUUGACGGUACCUAAACAGAAAGCCACGGCUAACUACGUG
rnacentral:rRNA from 1 species